UACGGAGGGUGCAAGCGUUAAUCGGAAUUACUGGGCGUGAAGCGUGCGCAGGCGGUUUGUUAAGUCUGCUGUGAAAUCCCCGAGCUCAACUUGGGAAUUGCAGUGGAUACUGGCAGGCUGGAGUAUGGUAGAGGAAGGUGGAAUUCCCGGUGUAGCAGUGAAAUGCGUAGAGAUCGGGAGGAACACCAGUGGCGAAGGCGGCCUUCUGGACCAAUACUGACGCUCAUGCACGAAAGCGUGGGGAGCAAACAGG
rnacentral:rRNA from 1 species